rnacentral:rRNA from 1 species
UAGGUGCAGCCUUGAGUGUUCAAUUAUGGGGGUAGAGCACUGAAUGACCUAGGGGGCAUACUGCUUACCGAAGUCAAUCAAACUCCGAAUACCAUAAUUCUAGAGCUCAGGAGUGAGACUAUGGGAAUUAACUUCCAUGGUCAAAAGGGAAACAACCCAGACCACCAGCUAAGGUCCCUAAUUAUAACUAAGUGGGAAAGGAGGUGGAGAUUCACAAACAACCAGGAGGUUGGCUUAGAAGCAGCCAUACCUUUAAAGAGUGCGUAAUAGCUCACUGGUCGAGAGUCUCUGCGCCGACAAUGUAACGGGGCUAAGUUAUAAACCGAAGCUGUGGAGUUGCGUAAGCGACUGGUAGGAGAGCGUUCUGUAGGCCGUUGAAGGAGAAUCGACAAGAGACUCUGGAGGUAUCAGAAGUGAGAAUGCAGGAAUAAGUAGCGAGAAUGGGGGCGAGAAUCCCCCACGCCGGAAGACCAAGGGUUCCAGGGUAAAGUUUGUCUCCCCUGGGUAAGCCGGGUCCUAAGCCGAGGCUAGAUUGCGUAGGCGAAUGGAAAACAGAUUAAUAUUUCUGUGCCACUGAUAUCAAGUGAUGGAGGGACGCAGGAGGUUAUGCACGCUGGCGAACGGAAGUGCCAGUUCAAGCAUGUAGCGUGGUCUAGUAGGAAAAUCCGCUAGACUAAACGUGAGGUGUGAUGAGGAGUCGUAAGAUGGAAGGUGCAAAUACCACACUGCCGAGAAAAGCUUCUAAGCGUUAUAAAGAUAUUAGUGCCCGUACCCCAAACCGACACAGGUGGUCAGGAUGAGAAAUCUAAGGCGGACAGGCUAACUCUCGUUAAGGAACUCUGCAAAAUAGCCCCGUAACUUCGGGAGAAGGGGUGCCUUUUAUGGUGAGCGUACACGCGACGCAAAGCUAUGAGAGGCCGCAGUGAAGAGUCUCAGGCGACUGUUUAACAAAAACACAGGUCUAUGCUAAGCUGUAAGGCGACGUAUAUGGGCUGACACCUGCCCAGUGCCGGAAGGUUAAGAGGAGGAGUGAGAGCUCCGAAUUGAAGCCCCGGUGAACGGCGGCCGUAACUAUAACGGUCCUAAGGUAGCGAAAUUCCUUGUCGGGUAAGUUCCGACCUGCACGAAUGGUGUAACGAUCUGAGAGCUGUCUUGACGGGAGGCCUGGUGAAAUUGUAUUACCGGUGAAGAUACCGGUUACCUGCAGUAGGACGGAAAGACCCCAUGGAGCUUUACUGUAGCUUGGUAUUGGGUUUUGGCAUCGUAUGUAUAGGAUAGUUGGGAGACUAUGAUGCGUGGUCGCUAGAUUACGCGGAGUCACUGGUGGAAUACCAACCAUACUAUGUCGGAAUUCUAAUUUGAGGUUUGUACCCUCGAAGACAGUGCUAGGUGGGCAGUUUGACUGGGGCGGUCGCCUCCGAAAGAGUAACGGAGGCGUUCAAAGGUUCUCUCAGGUUGGAUGGAAAUCAACCGCAGAGUGCAAUGGCAUAAGAGAGCUUAACUGCGAGACUGACGGGUCGAGCAGGUGCGAAAGCAGGACAUAGUGAUCCGGCGAUUCCGAAUGGAAGGGUCGUCGCUCAACGGAUAAAAGCUACCCUGGGGAUAACAGGCUGAUUCUACCCGAGAGUCCAUAUCGACGGUAGAGUUUGGCACCUCGAUGUCGGCUCAUCGCAUCCUGGGGCUGGAGAAGGUCCCAAGGGUUGGGCUGUUCGCCCAUUAAAGCGGUACGUGAGCUGGGUUCAGAACGUCGUGAGACAGUUCGGUCCCUAUCCACUGUAGGCGUUAGAGUAUUGAGAAGAUCUGUCCUUAGUACGAGAGGACCGGGAUGGACAAACCUCUGAUGUACCAGUUGUCACGCCAGUGGCACAGCUGGGUAGUCACGUUUGGAACAGAUAACCGCUGAAAGCAUCUAAGCGGGAAACUGACUUCAAGAUAAGUACUCUUUAAGAUACCUUCGAGACUAGGAGGUUGAUAGGUUGGGGGUGUAAGAGUUGUGAGACUUUUAGCUGACCAAUACUAAUAUAUCGAAGUUUUAACCUUAAUAUACUACUAUAUAGUUUC